UUUUUUUUAACUGAGUCAAAAGCUUUGUCUCAUCCAUUAAAUAAAAGAGAAUAGAGUUUUUUACAUCCCGCCUCUCUUCAUAUGCAGUCAUAAUAACUGCAAGACCUACCACUGCAUAUCCAUUUAUCAUUGAUGUUUUGUUUUCUACUUUUGCUUUCCUUCUUAUUCUCGAGCAACCGGCUAGAGCUUUGCCUUUUCAUACUAUAAAACAAGAUAAUUGUCCAAUUAAUAUGAAAGACUGGCCGAAAACCGAUAUAACGAGCCAUACAAACGACAUCCCCGUGGCCACACCCCCAAUGGCCCGACUACUCUAUCACCCAAGAAAUCCUAGUCGACACCCUACCUAAUGAUACAGAGUCGUCACUCCGGCUUACAAACAUCAGAAACACACCACACUGGCCUCGAGGCCGCGCUCACCCAACAGGUCGACGACUCAACUACGCGAAUAGAUUCUCAAACCACACCAAGGUGAUCUCCGGAGCCGCCACUCCGCUUCCUCACCAGCCCCGAGGCUACACACCCGAUGAUUUGUUGAGAGCACCACCCAAGCGACAGAACAAACAUCUUUCAUUACAAAAGCAAUCUCCGGAGCCGCCGCUCCGGCUUUGACACUGGCCCCAAGGAGACACACAUGCCUAGUCGAUGACGACACGCCAUGAGAACACGAGCCACAAGUGCCUACCUCUUUCUGCCAUACCAUGUAGUUAUAGAGGAGCGACCAAAUUAACCCCAUCUCUGAACAAAGGUCACCAAAUCCAUGUUUGUAGUGAGAACAUAAGAUACAACUCAUCGUAUAAUCUUGACCUUUUUCUCACAAAGCUUGCUUGUGUCUGUACAAUCUGUUCCUUUGAGGUAUAUUCCAAGCAUAACCAUGAUUUGACUUCAGUAUUUUUAUUUCCCAAAUUCUAUAGUACUGAAAUUUGAAGGUCAAACCUGAUAAAUUAAAGUUUAGCAUUCCUUAAUCCUUCUAAGAACCAUCCUGAUAUGUACAAUUCGUUGUACUUACAAGCGAUGCCGUACAUAUCAUAUUUUAUACUUGCAACUAGCAGUGUUAGAUUGGCAUACCACAACAUAUGUCCUUACCUGUAUGCCUUCACCCUGCAUUAUGGCUAUAUAUACGUACCAGAUGAGCACCGAAUAAAGCACACCAGAAGAGAGCAAAAAAAGAAGAAAGAUAGAAGGGGGCAGGAGUUAAGCUGAGAGAUCGCCGGCGGCCAUGGCGACUGAACAGCUCAACGUGUUGAAAGCACUCGAUGUUGCCAAGACGNNNN
rnacentral:lncRNA from 1 species